rnacentral:rRNA from 1 species
UACGUAGGUCCCGAGCGUUGUCCGGAUUUAUUGGGCGUAAAGCGAGCGCAGGUGGUUUAUUAAGUCUGGUGUAAAAGGCAGUGGCUCAACCAUUGUAUGCAUUGGAAACUGGUAAACUUGAGUGCAGGAGAGGAGAGUGGAAUUCCAUGUGUAGCGGUGAAAUGCGUAGAUAUAUGGAGGAACACCGGUAGCGAAAGCGGCUCUCUGGUCUGUAACUGACGCUGAGGUUCGAAAGCGUGGGUAGCAAACAGG